rnacentral:SRP_RNA from 1 species
GCCGGGUGCGGUGGCGCGCGCCUGUAAUCCAAGCUACUGGGAGGCUGAGGCUGGCGGAUCGUUUGAGCUCAGGAGCUCUGAGCUGCAGCGGACUAUGCCGAUCGGGUGUCCGCACUAAGUUCGGCAUCGAUAUGGUGCUCCUGGGGGAGCUCGGGACCACCAGGUCGUCUAAGGAGGGGUGCACCGGCCCAGGUCGGAAACGGAGCAGGUCAAAGCCCCCGUGCCGCUCAGUAGUGGGAUCGCGCCUGUGAAUAGACGCUGUAGUGCAGCCUGAGUAAUACAGCGGGACCCAGUCUUU